rnacentral:rRNA from 1 species
GACGAACGCUGGCGGCGUGCUUAACACAUGCAAGUCGAACGGAAAGGCCCUGCUUUUGUGGGGUGCUCGAGUGGCGAACGGGUGAGUAACACGUGAGUAAACUGCCCUUGACUUUGGGAUAACUUCAGGAAACUGGGGCUAAUACCGGAUAGGAGCUCCUGCUGCAUGGUGGGGGUUGGAAAGUUUCGGCGGUUGGGGAUGGACUCGCGGCUUAUCAGCUUGUUGGUGGGGUAGUGGCUUACAAAGGCUUUGACGGGUAGCCGGCCUGGGAGGGUGACCGGCCACAUUGGGACUGAGAUACGGCCCAGACUCCUACGUGAGGCAGCAGUGGGGAAUAUUGCACAAUGGGCGGAAGCCUGAUGCAGCAACGCCGCGUGCGGGAUGACGGCCUUCGGGUUGUAAACCGCUUUCUCCUGUGACGAAGCGUGAGUGACGGUAAUGGGUAAAGAAGCACCGGCUAACUACGUG